rnacentral:rRNA from 1 species
GACGAACCGUGCGAACGUUGUUCGGAAUCACUGGGCUUAAAGGGCGCGUAGGCGGGCCUUUCAAGUCCGGGGUGAAAUCCUUCCGCUUAACGGGAGAAGAGCCUCGGAGACUGAGGGCCUCGAGGGAGGUAGGGGCGUGCGGAACUAUGGGUGGAGCGGUGAAAUGCAUUGAUAUCCAUAGGAACUCCGGUGGCGAAGGCGGCACGCUGGACCUCUUCUGACGCCUGGAGGCGCGGAAAGCCAGGGGAGCAAACGGG